UAAACUUUGAGGCUGACUUCCACUGCCUAUCGACAGGCGAAUCGACGAAUGACGAUCCAGGUGCAUGCGUCAUUCGUCAGAAUGACGCAUGCCGGUCUCGCUUGCCAAAGGGAACGAGACCGGCCACACAUCUGAGCAUUGACCCGUUCGGUCACCCCUCUGCCCGUUUUCUUUUUUAAUUUUUGGAUUUAGCCUAGUUUGGUGGGCUCUCGGCAAAUUGUUGCGUUCUGUGAACUUCAACACGACACCACUGCACCAUUGAACCACGGCAAGAUGGUCACCACAUCGCAGGUCUGUGUACAGCAGAAAACAGUGAAAAAUCCAUCGGCAAAAAGUAAAACCAUGAAAAACAAUGGGAAAGAUAACGCACCAAGAAGAACAGACCUCCCAAAUAUGAUGACCAAACGAUAGGCAGUCCACCCUGCAUGGGACCUUCAACGUCCAUUUCGGAACCUACCAAGGGUUGCCUUAGCGGCACAUGGUCGACAUCUGCCACUGUAACAACUGCUUCCGCAGGUGCGAAUUGUCGUACUUGGCACGCCAGAUAUUGACAGUACGUGAUCAUGAUGAUGCAGAACGUAAUCUAAGACAGCUCUGGAACCUCGCGCCAAUGACAUUCCAGAACUGAAAUCAUGGCUUUCUUGUACCAAUACAGCUCAAGGUAAAGGACAAGGUCAACAGAAAGGCAUAUUUAAUACGUAAACAGUGCUAACUUUCAACAAGGUGAUCGCUGUGUGUGGGUGUGACGGUGCGGCAUUAUUUGAUUCG